UACAGAGGUCUCAAGCGUUUGUUCGGAUUCAUUGGGCGUAAAGGGUGCGUAGGCGGCGCGGUAAGUCGGGUGUGAAAUCUUGGAGCUUAACUCCGAAACUGCAUUCGAUACUGCCGUGCUUGAGGACUGGAGAGGAGACUGGAAUUUACGGUGUAGCGGUGAAAUGCGUAGAUAUCGUAAGGAAGACCAGUGGCGAAGGCGGGUCUCUGGACAGUUCCUGACGCUGAGGCACGAAGGCCCAGGGGAGCAAAACGGGG
rnacentral:rRNA from 1 species